rnacentral:rRNA from 1 species
UCCAUCAGAACGCUUCAUGCAGUCGAGCGGAUCUCUUCGGAGGUCAGCGGCGGACGGGUGAGUAACACGUGGGCAACCUGCCUGUAAGACUGGGAUAACUCCGGGAAACCGGAGCUAAUACCGGAUACUAUGUCAAACCGCAUGGUUUGACAUUCAAAGACGGUUUCGGCUGUCACUUACAGAUGGGCCCGCGGCGCAUUAGCUAGUUGGUGAGGUAAUGGCUCACCAAGGCGACGAUGCGUAGCCGACCUGAGAGGGUGAUCGGCCACACUGGGACUGAGACACGGCCCAGACUCCUACGGGAGGCAGCAGUAGGGAAUCUUCCGCAAUGGACGAAAGUCUGACGGAGCAACGCCGCGUGAGUGAUGAAGGUUUUCGGAUCGUAAAACUCUGUUGUCAGGGAAGAACAAGUGCCGGAGUAACUGCCGGCACCUUGACGGUACCUGACCAGAAAGCCACGGCUAACUACGUGCCAGCAGCCGCGGUAAUACGUAGGUGGCAAGCGUUGUCCGGAAUUAUUGGGCGUAAAGCGCGCGCAGGCGGUUUCUUAAGUCUGAUGUGAAAGCCCCCGGCUCAACCGGGGAGGGUCAUUGGAAACUGGGAAACUUGAGUGCAGAAGAGGAGAGUGGAAUUCCACGUGUAGCGGUGAAAUGCGUAGAGAUGUGGAGGAACACCAGUGGCGAAGGCGACUCUCUGGUCUGUAACUGACGCUGAGGCGCGAAAGCGUGGGGAGCGAACAGGAUUAGAUACCCUGGUAGUCCACGCCGUAAACGAUGAGUGCUAAGUGUUAGAGGGUUUCCGCCCUUUAGUGCUGCAGCUAACGCAUUAAGCACUCCGCCUGGGGAGUACGGUCGCAAGACUGAAACUCAAAGGAAUUGACGGGGCCCGCACAAGCGGUGGAGCAUGUGGGUUUAAUUCGAAGCAACGCGAAGAACCUUACC